GUUGAACGCUGGCGGCGUGCCUAACACAUGCAAGUCGAGCGAAGCACUUUGCUUAGAUUCUUCGGAUGAAGAGGAUUGUGACUGAGCGGCGGACGGGUGAGUAACGCGUGGGUAACCUGCCUCAUACAGGGGGAUAACAGUUAGAAAUGACUGCUAAUACCGCAUAAGACCACAGCACCGCAUGGUGCGGGGGUAAAAACUCCGGUGGUAUGAGAUGGACCCGCGUCUGAUUAGCUAGUUGGUAAGGUAACGGCUUACCAAGGCGACGAUCAGUAGCCGACCUGAGAGGGUGACCGGCCACAUUGGGACUGAGACACGGCCCAAACUCCUACGGGAGGCAGCAGUGGGGAAUAUUGCACAAUGGGGGAAACCCUGAUGCAGCGACGCCGCGUGAGCGAAGAAGUAUUUCGGUAUGUAAAGCUCUAUCAGCAGGGAAGAAAAUGACGGUACCUGACUAAGAAGCACCGGCUAAAUACGUGCCAGCAGCCGCGGUAAUACGUAUGGUGCAAGCGUUAUCCGGAUUUACUGGGUGUAAAGGGAGCGUAGACGGAUGGGCAAGUCUGAUGUGAAAACCCGGGGCUCAACCCCGGGACUGCAUUGGAAACUGUUCAUCUAGAGUGCUGGAGAGGUAAGUGGAAUUCCUAGUGUAGCGGUGAAAUGCGUAGAUAUUAGGAGGAACACCAGUGGCGAAGGCGGCUUACUGGACAGUAACUGACGUUGAGGCUCGAAAGCGUGGGGAGCAAACAGGAUUAAAUACCCUGGUAGUCCACGCCGUAAACGAUGACUACUAGGUGUCGGGUGGCAAAGCCAUUCGGUGCCGCAGCAAACGCAAUAAGUAGUCCACCUGGGGAGUACGUUCGCAAGAAUGAAACUCAAAGGAAUUGACGGGGACCCGCACAAGCGGUGGAGCAUGUGGUUUAAUUCGAAGCAACGCGAAGAACCUUACCUGCUCUUGACAUCCCGCUGACCGGACGGUAAUGCGUCCUUCCCUUCGGGGCAGCGGAGACAGGUGGUGCAUGGUUGUCGUCAGCUCGUGUCGUGAGAUGUUGGGUUAAGUCCCGCAACGAGCGCAACCCCUAUCUUUAGUAGCCAGCGGCCAGGCCGGGCACUCUAGAGAGACUGCCGGGGAUAACCCGGAGGAAGGUGGGGAUGACGUCAAAUCAUCAUGCCCCUUAUGAGCAGGGCUACACACGUGCUACAAUGGCGUAAACAAAGGGAAGCGAGACCGCGAGGUGGAGCAAAUCCCAAAAAUAACGUCUCAGUUCGGAUUGUAGUCUGCAACUCGACUACAUGAAGCUGGAAUCGCUAGUAAUCGCGAAUCAGAAUGUCGCGGUGAAUACGUUCCCGGGUCUUGCACACACCG
rnacentral:rRNA from 1 species